rnacentral:rRNA from 1 species
UACGAAGGGGGCUAGCGUUGCUCGGAUUGACUGGGCGUAAAGGGCGCGUAGGCGGCUUGUACAGUCAGACGUGAAAUUCCUGGGCUCAACCUGGGAACUGCAUUUGUGACUGGCGAGCUAGAGUAUGGCAGAGGGGGGUAGAAUUCCACGUGUAGCAGUGAAAUGCGUAGAGAUGUGGAGGAAUACCGAUGGCGAAGGCAGCCCCCUGGGCCAAUACUGACGCUCAUGCACGAAAGCGUGGGGAGCAAACAG